UCGAAACGUGAGCCCCACCAUCACCUUGCUCCUCCCACUGCCUGAAACAAUAAUUACAAACACGGAUCCUCUCCCACUCCUCCCGAGGAGCUCUCAAGUCACUCCCAGCCAAAGGUAUAGAGUUGGCAGUACACUUGCCGCAGAAAACUCUCCCACAGAGACGGCAGUGGUGCCUGCGGUUGAUGAGAGUAAACUGACAGUCACACUCGUAGCAAACACGACAGCUCUGAUCAGGCAUCCAGAAGUCCCUGGACACGGUAGCUGGCUCUGAUCGCCAGGGGAUCCAGGAUUUGACCAGACCCACAAUCUCGGAGAGUGUCUUGUUACUACUACUAUCUCUUGUAUCCAUCUAAAACCUCCCCAACCAUAAUGCUAUGACGGUCAUGGAAAGUCUAUAGAAAUCCAAAACUUUACCCUAAUCAAGAGAGAUAAACGCUAAAACAAUGCUUUGAUCCGGAUCCAAUUAUCACGAAAUCAAUUGGGGGCGAUCAAAGAAACGUUUUUUUUUUUUUUUUCUUUUCAAAAUCGAGCAAAUUCAUCAUCAUCAGGGAUCAAUCAUCUGCAGAAUUGAAAUCGAAAUUCGAAACUUUUGGAAACCCAAAUGAAGUGAUCGCAUGGGAUUUACCUAAAAGAGAAAGCUUGAGGAGUCACGAGAAGGAGAAGAUCGUCUUGUGUUUUUGAUUGACUGAUAAUUCAUGGCAGGGAUAGCGACAUCGUCAAUAAUCCGCGUCUUACAGUUUUAAAUUCAUUACACCGUCGCGUACCUAAUCUUAACUCCCCACACCAUUAUUAUUACAUUUAAUUUUUUGCCUAAUUUAUGAUUUUUUUUUAUAUAUUCAGGUAUAUGAUUUGGCGCAGAAUAUCUGAUAUAUAUGGACCAAAAUACUUUCGAAAUCCCAUAAUUGCAGUUAUUAAUACUGAAAAAUUACUCAAUGACUCUGGUUUUUUUUUCUUUAAAAGGAAAUUGAGGAUCGUCGUCAACAAACCAAAAAAAAGGAUAUUGAGAAUAUUAGGAAAAAAGUAAAUGAGAAUCAAUAGCACAUACUUUCAAAUGUAUAUUACAAGUAUUGAGAACUCGUCGAGAAAAUAUUUUACAAUAAGAAAAAUAAUUAAAGGGAGAAUAUAAGUUCAAUUUCUUAAAUGAGAAUCUUUGAAAAAUCAUAAAAUUUUAUAAGGUGCAUUUGUCUCUCACAGAUUCACUCAGUUUUUUAUUUAGAAUUAAUUAAAUUAAAUUUAAUACAAUACUAAUAUUUUUAAGAUACUCUUGAAUUAAGUAUAUAAAGAAUAGAGAUAUCUUAACUAGCAAAAAAAAAUUAUAAAGAACUAAAAAAUAAUUUGGAAACUUUAAAUUUUAUAAAAUAGCCUGAGUUGAACCGAAGAAUAGUGCUCCCCAAUGCACUAACCAAUGCACAAAAACCAAUUUCUAUACAAGACAAAAAAGACUGAUAUAUUAUGAGGAUUCAUGUAUCACUCUGCUUGUGUACCGGCUUGAGAGGUUUCUUCAGGUUGAUCAGACCUGGAGUUAUUAGCAAUGACAUUAGGCGGAGACCAUUGAUCAGGAACCAUGAGGAAGUAAGUCGUCAUGGCCUUUCUGAAUCUUCUCUUGUAUUGCUUUGGAGAGAUAACCGUUGGUGCUUCAUUCUUUGGUCCUCCUAAGAUUCCCGUAAAUUUCACCCAAGACUCUAGAUGUUUGUCCCAUGUGUACUGCCUCAAGAAGUCGAUAAUCCCGAGAACUAACUCGUUCUUUUCUUCAUCUACGCCUACUAGCAAGGAGUAAUCCAUCACAUCACCCAACUGCAAACACAAAGACGAUACAAAACGUUUACAAUAGAGUACAGAUGAGUAAAUGAUUUGCAAGAGAGUAAAACUCACUGCAAGAAAAGCAGUAUCGUUCCAGACAGCUCUUUCCAACAAUCGUUUUGCUUUGUUACCAACGAAGAUGGGAGAAGUUGGCAUUGCUUCAAUCAAGUUCUGAUCCAACAAGACCUUGUUGCUCCCACUAGCGUCAGGGUUGUAUCGCGCUCGGGAUGAUCCUUUGAGGUCGUAAAGCCGCUUCACAGUUCUUCCAAAGAGAAGAUUCUCCAUUAUCAGAACAUCCAUCUUUGUUUCUUUCCCGCUCUUAAGUUGCUUUGUUGCGACCUAUAAACACAAAUACAUACUCUCAUCAAGAAUGAAUCAAACCUGACCAGAAAAAAAUCUCUCUCAACUUAGCAAUUAGUACCUGAUAGAUUCCCAAGAUUUUUGCCAAACAAGUUGGACUUUUCGUGCUGAUAGACUCAGAUAAAUAUUUGAAGUAAGCAGGUGCAAACUUGAUGAACGAUUCAAGUUCUGUCUUGGUGACUUGCUUGAUGAUGAAACGAUCGUCAAGGGUUUUAGCAAAGAAGACAUUGCUCUUCCCACCUUGAGCUCCCCAUUUCUUACACCGGCUAAGAGACCUUAUAUACUCAAGUUCCGAAGGGAUACAUAUACCUCUCAAGGCCUCAAACCGUUUUGCAUAGUAGCAAGUAACCGUGUACUUCACUUUUCCAAGAGUGCCGUCUUCUCCGUAUGAGACACGAGCAUGUAAAGCUUUUGUAUACGAGAGCGGGUCCAGACUGCGAGAUGAGGACAUUGAAAGUAUACUCUCAUCCACCGAACUUGUGCUUCUGCUAGGAUCAAAAAUGGUGUCAUCAACUGGGCGAGGGAUGUUCAGUUCAGAAGUAUACGAAACUAGAGAUUCCCCUUCAAGAGAUAUUUGGCGUUGAUACUCAGGUGACGUCAAGGCGUAUGCGAUCAUACUUGUGGGUUCAUCAUCAUACACCGGAACAACGAUAUCAUUGAUGCCUACGGGAAGAAGUAGCCUUGGUCCACCUUGAAGCUCUGCCUCUCUAAAAGAUGAAAUAUAGACAGGGCUAUGCUCUCCAAAUGUAUCGAGCUUCUGAGAGCUAAGCAAAAAAUUCUUGUUGAUGGAGCGGUAGAAAUUGAGGAAUGGCACACCUAACCAGCUUACAGAAUCUUCUGAGCUCUCAUAAUCUUUACUCGGUAGAGCAGGUGAAACUGGAUACGCCACCUUGAAUUCGUUUUGCUGUUCUGGGAGAUCUAUUGGAGGGAAAGUUGAAGAGUUUGAAGGAGGAAGCAAGAUCUUAGUAUUGGUUGGAAUCUCCCCUGAUGUCUGACGCUCGCCUAUCCAUGCUGCAUCAAGAGUAGCUGAUAGAUUUUUCAUAACUAUCUCGCCAUCUGACUGUGUCCUGCGAACAUCGAGUUUACUUUCCAGAGGUUCAGAACUAUCAGGUAAGGUCUUGCUGGGAGAGACUUCUCCACCAUCUUCCUUUUCCGGAUUCAUAUCUAAAUUCGUAUCCGCUUCCUUCUGAACCUUAGUGUCAUCAGUAGAACCACCAUCAGGAUUCUGAUCAACCUCUGAGCCAGAAAGAAGAGAGUUAGUCCCAGCAUUCAUCUCGGGGAGGGUCUGGCUCUUAGCCAAGGGUACUUUCUCAUUUUCAUCACUACACUCAAUCUUAGAUAAACUUGAUGCAUUAAUCAAGCGGUGAUCCCACAUAUAUGACUGAAAAAUCAGCUGCCUGCGAAGCCGGUACAGCUCAAGAAUAUCCACUUGAGGUUGGCCUUCCUUCACCUCCCUGUGCAACAUCAUCUUUUGAAUAUUAUCCUGAAAGAAAUGUCAGAACGUUACAAAACAAAACCUUUUGUCUUAAAAAUAAUAAUUGUAGUAUAUUGGUUUUAAGAAAACUCUUUAAUACAUAAUUUAUUACCUCGAACUCUGCUUUCUCUCUUUGCAGCAAUUCUUCGAGUUCACCAAUUCGACGCCUAAAACCUUUUGCUGCAAUUUGACUAAUAGCAUUCAAUACUUCAGAAAACAGAAGCUCGGCUCUCUCUACCACCUGAAUAAUAAAAGGGAAGACAAGUCAGUUAAAAUGUGUGAGAUUUCAAAACCGCAUCCCAGUAAAAUCACAGAUAUUUAACCUCAUCUGUCUCUCUCUGUAUCCAGUCCUGAUUAUCAUAGUUGAAACUAAGAACUGAUGGUGGAAGGUAGACAGAAUUAACAUCUAUAGUAGCGUAACGGAAGCAAGCAACCAUGUUCCCGAAUCUGCAUGGGUACAACUUGUUAGAGCAAAGGAAUACAGAAUUUUUCAGACAUGUUUCACCAUUUUGAAAGUACCCGUAGAAACGAAGACAGUCUCUAUGGAGAGAGUGGCCACAACAUGCUACUCUACUGGCAGCUGCGUGAUUUGAGAAACUGAGCUCCAGAAACUUCCCAAAGGAUAAUCCCCAUGCAGCAUCAGACAUCACCACUCGUAGAGUCGCGGGAGGAAAACCGUCAGGUCGAGGGCAUCUCAGGCAUCUAUGCCACAUCCAAAUCUUCCCCUCCUUUUCACCAGGUAAGAGACAAUCUUGAAGCUUCUUGACAGAUAUCGUAAGGCUGCCUUGUCGAUGAGUGUAACAGUGAACGUGAGCUUCUGAUGGCAUCUCACAUGAACGACACCUGUAACCCUGCAAUUCGAGCAUGUAUUUAAGUUACCAUAUUAAUAUGUAAGCUGCAGUAGAGAAGUCACACUGUAAAACAUAUAUAAAGUAGAAAAAAACCUACCUGAUCGAACAAAUGAUCUCUCAAGAACCGUCCCAAGGGUUUAUCGAAACUACCAUAGUACUUUAUCCGGAAGAGAUGAGACCUCUCACACACAGUUCCUUUCCACACUGAUCUGGACGAUAGAGAAACCAAGAUGCUUUGGUGAUCAGAGGGUGCCGGAGGAAACUCCUCUUUUUGAGAUUGUGGUUCCUUUGGAGUCUCACUGUUUUGUUGUUGGAUGGCCGUAAACUCUGUACCAUUGUCCUGGUUUUCUACUACAACGCUCUUACUACUUUGAGAACUCUGUGGCACAACGCCUUGCCCUGAUGAAUGUAGGGAACUGUCCAAUAUGUCUGUUGGGUUGCUUUUGUCGGCCAGUGCAGAUCUUUCAGAAAAAUCUGCGUUUCUUCCAGCUAUCAAACGGUCAGGCAAAUUCAAUGGAACAUUAUAGCGUGAAAAUGUGAAACCCGGAGUUCCUUCUCUACCCUGCCAGCCUGAACCAUUGGGUAUCAGAGGGUUUAUGUCCUUCUGGAUGGAUACAUUAGCAGUGGUUGAAAGCAACUCAGAUGCUGGGACACUGUUUGCUCGCUGUGGUUCGGAACCAGUUAGCAUUGUUGGAGACUUUUCAUAUGCAGAGACCAUGAAACCUGGCACAGUAGAUAUCGAACGUUCAAUGCUCAUGGAUUUAUCUGGAAGAGCUACCGUAAUCGGGGAGUUCAAGGGGAGUUCUGGUGAGGCUCCUUCGUCAGCAAGAAACGAUGUCUCCAGUGCCAAAUGAUAAGCUGCGAAAACUCCAUAUUGGACCACAUGCUUCACUUUUUUCAACUCUUCUUCAUUAGCACCCCUAAGCAAAAUCUGAUGAAGAGAGAACACAAAAAAAAAAACAAGAAGUAGUUAUGAAGCAAUCAGAUAUAAGAGAUCUGCUCAGCGUUUUUUUUUUUAAUUCUAAUGGCUAGGAGUGCUUACUGUAAAGCCUAAAGGCCUUGGACAACCCUCAAAAUACAUCAACGUCUUCACUACUUUCUUUCCAGCUUGACCAGCUGAACCAUGUUCUUCAAGAAACCUAUCCACACGAAAAUUCUCACAGUAACCCAGCUUUUGAGAGGAGAGGUGGUCUACUGAAGGAAUUAUCUGAGCACCAGUGCAGCGAGCAAUGCGGUCUAAAAGUGGCCUCUUAAUGUUUAGAACAAGAGAUAUGUCUUUGGCUAGAAGGUACUCUUGCGCAAAUCGAGAAACUGAUUUUUCGACUAGUAGAAUGUUUGGACGUUCAGCGUGAAUCUUUGCAACAGCCAUCUUUAGAUGAUCCUUUUCCUGAUACACCAAAAUAAGUAAAAUGAGUUAAGGCAUAACUAAGCAAACUCCAUAUAUAACCACCAACGAGAAGAAACAAAAUAUUUCACCUGUUGCAACAAAGUAUCAAAACUCGAUAACUGGUUCGAGACCCUCUGAUACUCAAGCCCACCGCCUAGAAUCAAUAGUCGAGCGUUCUCAAUCUUCGCUCUCAUUCUCCUAUGAGCCACGUUUUUCUUGCAAACAACUCCUUUAACCACCAUGCUGUAAUUUGAUACACGGACAAAACUUCAUAUGUAUCCAGAUAAAAUGAAGCACUAUGGACUCAACAUUAGUCUUUUGAGAUUUAAGUUUUGUUGGUUCUGUUACCUAUCAUGUCGGAACCCGGAAGCUAAGCACUUAACUUUGACAUAGCCACCAGGAUCCAUUCCUCCACUUUUGCUCAUAUCAGGCUUCAAUAAGUUAGCCGCCUCCCAAGAAAGAGAGGUGAUGAUCUCUAACCAGCUCUCCUUCCCCUCUUCGUCGCUCACAGGGAUGUUCUCGACUUGCAACAACUGUGCAAGCAAAGCCCUAAAGUGCCCAUCAACCACAUUCUUCAUAGCCUUCUUGUGCUCUUCACUUGUUCGAUCCUCGCUACGGUACUCUCCACUUCCAAAGCUAGCGGAAGGUCGCAAGUAUCCCCACUCACCUGAGGCCUCUCCCUCAUUAUCUUCCUCAUCAUACAAAGGACUUUCUCUCUCAUCUUCUUCAUUUUCCGGGUCAGGUGGGACCCACAAAAGUCCAUUGUUCUCGAAAUCCACCGGUUCCGCCACUUGGUCAUCUGGCGGAGAAGGAGCUUCAGAUUCGUCACGACCAUCAUGCUCGUCUUUCUUCUGGAACUGCUCUGCUCCUUCCCCAAUCAGAGACUCAAGACAAUGGUGAAUGAGUGGAGAGCCGCUUAAACUUUUCUGGUCAGAGGUUUCGCCACUAAGAUGCUUACAGAGCCCAUCACCACCUAUGCUCGUCUCCUCAUAUUCCAUUGGCCCAUAAUAUUGAUUAGCUUGAGGAGAAUGGCUCGUAUCAAUAUCAGUCUGGUAUACACCAUACUCAUCGUACUCAUCAUCACUCCUGAUACAUAAAGGAAAAGAAAAGAAAAAAACAAAUUACCCACAAGACCUACCCUAGAGCUUGUUUGCAGUUCAGAAGAAAAGAGUACCUAUUUGAAGCAAAGCGAGAUGGAUCUUGCACAUCUGUAGCGAUGAAGCUGUUCCUCCUCGAAGUUUCUUUGCCUUUUCUCGUCGUGCCUGCCUCCAUAGACGAUACACCAUGCAAACUGACAUCAGAACCACGUUGAGCCCUUUGGUAAGGACCAACUAACCCCGGCAUGGAGCCAAGAGCGAAGCUACUACUAUUAGCAGUGGUACUAGUCUUCGAGCUAAGAAGACUGGACUCCGAAGGCGAGGUGCUAAGCUCAGGGACAUUCGAAACGUGAGCCCCACCAUCACCUUGCUCCUCCCACUGCCUGAAACAAUAAUUACAAACACGGAUCCUCUCCCACUCCUCCCGAGGAGCUCUCAAGUCACUCCCAGCCAAAGGUAUAGAGUUGGCAGUACACUUGCCGCAGAAAACUCUCCCACAGAGACGGCAGUGGUGCCUGCGGUUGAUGAGAGUAAACUGACAGUCACACUCGUAGCAAACACGACAGCUCUGAUCAGG
rnacentral:lncRNA from 1 species